ACGAGCCUACGGGGCGCAGCAGUGAGGAAUAUUGGUCAAUGGGCGCAAGCCUGAACCAGCCAAGUCGCGUGAGGGAUGACGGUCCUAUGGAUUGUAAACCUCUUUUGUCGGGGAGCAAGGCCCGCCACGUGUGGCGGGAAGGAGAGUACCCGAAGAAAAAGCAUCGGCUAACUCCGUGCCCGCAGCCGCGGUAAUACGGAGGAUGCGAGCGUUAUCCGGAUUUAUUGGGGUUUAAGGGUGCGGAGGCGGAAGGUU
rnacentral:rRNA from 1 species